GAUGAACGCUGGCGGCGUGCCUAAUACAUGCAAGUCGAGCGAACGGACGAGAAGCUUGCUUCUCUGAUGUUGGCGGCGGACGGGUGAGUAACACGUGGAUAACCUACCUAUAAGACUGGGAUAACUUCGGGAAACCGGAGCUAAUACCGGAUGAUAUUUUGAACCGCAUGGUUCAAAAGUGAAAGACGGUCUUGCUGUCACUUAUAGAUGGAUCCGCGCUGCAUUAGCUAGUUGGUAAGGUAACGGCUUACCAAGGCAACGAUGCAUAGCCGACCUGAGAGGGUGAUCGGCCACACUGGAACUGAGACACGGUCCAGACUCCUACGGGAGGCAGCAGUAGGGAAUCUUCCGCAAUGGGCGAAAGCCUGAUGGAGCAACGCCGCGUGAGUGAUGAAGGUCUUCGGAUCGUAAAACUCUGUUAUUAGGGAAGAACAUAUGUGUAAGUAACUGUGCACAUCUUGACGGUACCUAAUCAGAAAGCCACGGCUAACUACGUG
rnacentral:rRNA from 1 species